rnacentral:lncRNA from 15 species
AUGACGCUCAUUGGAGACUGUUUGGGGUCAACUGUCUUCGCUCGUACUCCCGACGACCACAGACUCGCUCCAUCCAUGGAAGAUUUAGAGUUUCUGAAGAUGGAAGCUGAGUGCUACCAGGACAGCUCCAAUAGUUGGGUUGCACCUUUACCUUUUCAGUCGCUGAGACAGCGGCUGUCCAACAACAGGAAACAGGCUUUCGACCAUCUUGUCUCACUCCGAGGCUCGUUGGAAAAACAACCACAGAUGAAAGCUGACUUCCUAGAGUUUAUGGAGAAUUUGCUCAAGAAGGCACAUGCAGAAGUUGCCCCGCCAAUGCUGCCUGCACGGAGUGCUGGUACCUGCCCUUGUUUGGCGUGUAUCACCCUAGUAAGCCAGAUAAGAUCCGUCUGGUCUUCAACAGCAGUGCGUCACGUGAAGGAGUGUCGCUCAAUACACCCACAGCGCUUUGAACGUUUCUCCAAGUUCAGCACUCUCCUCACAGCCAUAGGGCACCUCAUCCACGUAGCUCGUUCCUUCGCCCACUCCACCCAGAAUGAAUAUCAGGGGUGGCACAUUUGUCUUCCUACAGAGGAAGAGUUGCUGAGAGCCAAAGUGUGCAUUGUGAUGAGUGUCCAGAAUGAUUGCUACACAGAGCAACUUAAGUGUAUAAACUCAGGAUCCAACAUUCCAUCUUCCAGCAGACUGUGGAAAUUGCACCCCACAUUGGACCAAGAUCAACUUCUUAGGGUAGGAAGCCGGAUUGGACAGUCAGGUCUGAGCAAGAACGAGACUCACCCCAUCAUCAUUCCUGGUCGGCAUCAUCUCGCAACCCUGCUUGGGUCUCACUAUCACGAAGCAGUGAAACACCAAGGAAGACAUCUGACCGAAGGUGCUAUUCGAGCAGCAGGGUUAUGGCUGGUGGGAGCUAAACACUGUAUCGGCAGUCUGCUUCACAGAUGUAUCACUUGUAGAAAACUGAGGGGAAAGACCGAACAUCAGCAGAUGGCAGCCCUGCCAGCAGAACGACUAAAAGUAGCACCUCCUUUCACCUACGUAGGUGUUGACGUCUUUGGACCAUGGGACAUCGUCUCACGCCGCACAAGAGGAGGAGUCUCCAACUCUAAACGAUGGGCUGUGAUGUUCUCAUGUAUGUGUUCAAGGGCAGUUCACAUCAAGGUGAUUGAGGCAAUGAGUUCCAGCAGCUUUAUCAACGCCUUGAGGAGGUUCUUUGCAGUCAGGGGCCCCGCAAAGCAGAUCCGCUCUGACUGCAGAACUAACUUCAUCAGCAGGAGUUGGACAAGACAAAUCCAGGCUUUAACAGUGUGGAAAAGUACCUGGACUCACAGAGCUGCACCUGGGUGUUUAACCUGCCCCAUGCAUCUCAUAUCGGUGGCGCAUGGGAGCGAAUGA